UCCGGUGGUUCUGAAUGGAAGGGCCAUCGCUCAACGGAUAAAAGGUACUCCGGGGAUAACAGGCUGAUACCGCCCAAGAGUUCAUAUCGACGGCGGUGUUUGGCACCUCGAUGUCGGCUCAUCACAUCCUGGGGCUGAAGUAGGUCCCAAGGGUAUGGCUGUUCGCCAUUUAAAGUGGUACGCGAGCUGGGUUUAGAACGUCGUGAGACAGUUCGGUCCCUAUCUGCCGUGGGCGCUGGAGAACUGAGGGGGGCUGCUCCUAGUACGAGAGGACCGGAGUGGACGCAUCACUGGUGUUCGGGUUGUCAUGCCAAUGGCACUGCCCGGUAGCUAAAUGCGGAAGAGAUAAGUGCUGAAAGCAUCUAAGCACGAAACUUGCCCCGAGAUGAGUUCUCCCUG
rnacentral:rRNA from 1 species